GCGGGAGUAGCUCAGUUGGUAGAGCAUCAGCCUUCCAAGCUGAGGGUCGCGGGUUCGAAUCCCGUUUCCCGCUCCA
rnacentral:tRNA from 1 species